rnacentral:rRNA from 1 species
UAGGGAAUCUUCCACAAUGGACGCAAGUCUGAUGGAGCAACGCCGCGUGAGUGAAGAAGGGUUUCGGCUCGUAAAGCUCUGUUGUUAAAGAAGAACGUGGGUAAGAGUAACUGGUUUACCCAGUGACGGUAUUUAACCAGAAAGCCACGGCUAACUACGGUGCCA